rfam:Quang Binh virus isolate VN180, complete genome
GCCCCCGCAAGGAGGGGUGUGUGUUUCACGCCCCUGGGAGUUAACGAUUCUCCGGCCCCA